rnacentral:tRNA from 1 species
GCAGUGGUAGUUAAGUGGUAGAAUUCUCACCUGCCUUGUGAGAGACCCAGGUUCAAAUCUCAGUCAAUGCA